GAUGAACGCUAGCGACAGGCCUAACACAUGCAAGUCGAGGGGCAGCACAUGAGUAGCAAUACGAUGGUGGCGACCGGCGCACGGGUGAGUAACACGUAUGCAACCUACCGGUAAAAGGGGGAUAGCCUCUCGAAAGAGAGAUUAAUACCGCAUAUAUCUUUGGAUGGCAUCAUUUAGAGAUUAAACAUUUAUGGUUUACCGAUGGGCAUGCGUAUGAUUAGCUAGUAGGUGAGGUAACGGCUCACCUAGGCAACGAUCAUUAGGGGUUCUGAGAGGAAGGUCCCCCACACUGGUACUGAGACACGGACCAGACUCCUACGGGAGGCAGCAGUGAGGAAUAUUGGUCAAUGGGCGAGAGCCUGAACCAGCCAAGUCGCGUGAAGGAUGAAGGUUCUGUGGAUUGUAAACUUCUUUUGUAAGGGAAUAAAAAGUGGUACGUGUACCAUAUUGUAUGUACUUUACGAAUAAGGAUCGGCUAACUCCGUGCCAGCAGCCGCCGUAAAAC
rnacentral:rRNA from 1 species